rnacentral:rRNA from 1 species
GACGAACGCCGGCGGCGUGCCUAACUCAUGCAAGUCGAGCGAGUGGAGUCCUUCGGAACAAAGCUAGCGGCGGACGGGUGAGUAACACGUGGGCAACCUGCCUCAUAGAGGGGAAUAGCCUCCCGAAAGGGAGAUUAAUACCGCAUAAGAUUGUAGCUUCGCGUGAAGUAGCAAUUAAAGGAGCAAUCCGCUAUGAGAUGGGCCCGCGGCGCAUUAGCUAGUUGGUGAGGUAACGGCUCACCAAGGCGACGAUGCGUAGCCGACCUGAGAGGGUGAUCGGCCACAUUGGGACUGAGACACGGCCCAGACUCCUACGGGAGGCAGCAGUGGGGAAUAUUGCACAAUGGGGGAAACCCUGAUGCAGCAACGCCGCGUGAGUGAUGACGGCCUUCGGGUUGUAAAGCUCUGUCUUCAGGGACGAUAAUGACGGUACCUGAGGAGGAAGCCACGGCUAACUACGUGCCAGCCGCCGCCGUAACAC